GACGAACGCUGGCGGCGUGCUUAACACAUGCAAGUCGAACGGAAAGGGCGUGGCUUGGUGGGGUGCUCGAGUGGCGAACGGGUGAGUAACACGUGAGUAACCUGCCCUUGACUUUGGGAUAAGUGCAGGAAACUGGGGCUAAUACCGGAUAGGAGCUGCGACGGCAUGGUGAGGGGUGGAAAGUAUCGUCGGUUGGGGAUGAGCUCGCGGCUUAUCAGCUUGUUGGUGGGGUAGUGGCUUACCAAGGCGUUGACGGGUAGCCGGCCUGAGAGGGUGACCGGCCACAUUGGGACUGAGACACGGCCCAGACUCCUACGGGAGGCAGCAGUGGGGAAUAUUGCACAAUGGGCGGAAGCCUGAUGCAGCAACGCCGCGUGCGGGAUGACGGCCUUCGGGUUGUAAACCGCUUUCGCCUGUGACGAAGCGUAAGUGACGGUAACUGGUAAAGAAGCACCGGCUAACUACGUG
rnacentral:rRNA from 1 species